rnacentral:lncRNA from 1 species
UGUUUUCCAGCCUCUUCCCCACAGGUGCCCCCUCGUUCUCCCUCGCGUACAGGGGCUUUCUCUCUUUCUCUUUCCCUCUCCUCUUCUUGCUGAAUCUUCUCUUGACAGCAGGAGGAAAGAGGCCUAGUGAAGACACGAGAGGAGUGAAGAGGAGAGGACUACUCUACCGCCUCUCCGUGUGGUUUCCUGUUUGUAGGUGGGAGGAUGUAAAGACGGUUGCUGCAGCGUUCGCAGAGUUGCAGCUUUUUAACACCCGGCAACAAACUGAGAUGUCACAUUUGCGUGUCCUGAUUGGUUCGGGGUGUUUGUGUGGAGCUUUUUUUCUGACAUUUUGCUGCUGUAAGCUGCAGGGCCCCCCUUUUCCAAUUUCCACCGCCAGUUGCAAGUUGCAGUUGAGUGACUGAGAAAGGGCAGUUUAAUCAACCCACACACCUCGUUCCUCACGAGAGAGAUGUGAGCUUUUACGGUAGUUGUUUUGGUUAGUGACUCACCUUGUUGAAGAAUCACUGAGGAAGACGAACUAUCAGAGGAUCUGUGGCGGGAGGCAAAACGAAACCCAUCAUCUCAGCUCGGGAGGUGAUUGGGUGCAGUGCUGACGAAGAGGGAGGGAGGAAUCGGCCAAGUAGGUUGCUGAAGGUGCAGAUCAGACACCAGAGCAGCUAAUCGACGAGUCAAAGUCGAGGUGCAGUGUAAAUAGGUCCAAGGUGAGCAAAGACGUCCUCAAACAUGACGGAUGACGGGCUACAUUAGGCGUCACAUGUGGACCAGAUACUGUGGGGGGACACGAGACCAGCUGCAGGCCCCAGAACUUCACCAAUCCUCUGUCGUCCGCCUAAUCGUGUCUUCAGUCCAAGGUUGUCCUCAGGUGUAGAUGAGCCAUGGACGCCUCCUGGUUCCUCCUGGUUGUGUCUGCCGCCCUUUUGGUGUCCAUGGUCCUGCUGGUCAUCAUGUGUCUGGACUGCAGGAGAAAAGGUCCCCUGGUCUCCAUCAGAGAAACAGAUCCCUCAGAUGAAUACAUAAAUCCCCCACCAAUAACUCAUCCAUUUGGCGUCCAGCUAACCACCGAUCUGAGAUCCAUCCGUUCUCCCUCCAGCUUGCUGUCCCCUUUGUCUUCAGCCGACGCUGGCUCUCACUGGCUACACAGAUCCGUCACCCCAACAGAGACAGAAAGUAAUCCAAGUUAUGAGAAUCCAGUUCAAGACGGACCUGUGGACAGCGAUGUAGAAGACCCUGGAUACAUAAUCGUGUUGCCUAAUGAAGACGUUUCUCCUUCGAACAAUCAGAGCCGAGCAUCAACCCCCAGUUUAGGUACAGAUAGAAAAUCGAAAUGA